GAAUUCGCCCUUAGAGUUUGAUCCUGGCUCAGGACGAACGCUGGCGGCGUGCCUAACACAUGCAAGUCGAGCGAGUGGAGUUCUUCGGAACAAAGCUAGCGGCGGACGGGUGAGUAACACGUGGGCAACCUGCCUCAUAGAGGGGAAUAGCCUUCCGAAAGGGAGAUUAAUACCGCAUAAGAUUGUAGCUUCGCAUGAAGUAGCAAUUAAAGGAGCAAUCCGCUAUGAGAUGGGCCCGCGGCGCAUUAGCUAGUUGGUGAGGUAACGGCUCACCAAGGCGACGAUGCGUAGCCGACCUGAGAGGGUGAUCGGCCACAUUGGGACUGAGACACGGCCCAGACUCCUACGGGAGGCAGCAGUGGGGAAUAUUGCACAAUGGGGGAAACCCUGAUGCAGCAACGCCGCGUGAGUGAUGACGGCCUUCGGGUUGUAAAGCUCUGUCUUCAGGGACGAUGAUGACGGUACCUGAGGAGGAAGCCACGGCUAACUACGUGCCAGCAGCCGCGGUAAUACGUAGGUGGCGAGCGUUGUCCGGAUUUACUGGGCGUAAAGGGAGCGUAGGCGGACUUUUAAGUGAGAUGUGAAAUACCUGGGCUCAACUUGGGUGCUGCAUUUCAAACUGGAAGUCUAGAGUGCAGGAGAGGAGAAUGGAAUUCCUAGUGUAGCGGUGAAAUGCCGUAGAGAUUAGGAAAGAACACCAGUGGCGAAUGCGAUUCCUCUGGACUGUAACUGACGCUGAGGCUCGAAAGCGUGGGGAGCAAACAGGAUUAGAUACCCCGGUAGUCCACGCCGUAAACGAUGAGUGCUAGGUGUUAGGCCCUUUCCGGGGCUUAGUGCCGCAGCUAACGCAUUAAGCACUCCGCCUGGGGAGUACGGCCGCAAGGUUGAAACUCAAAGGAAUUGACGGGGGCCCGCACAAGCGGUGGAGCAUGUGGUUUAAUUUGAAGCAACGCGAAGAACCUUACCAGGUCUUGACAUCCCAGUGCCCGCUCUAGAGAUAGAGUUUUUCUUUGGAACACUGGUGACAGGUGGUGCAUGGUUGUUGUCAGCUCGUGUCGUGAGAUGUUGGGUUAAGUCCCGCGACGAGCGCAACCCUUAUUGUUAGUUGCCAUCCUUCAGUUGGGCCCUCUAGCGAGACUGCCGGUAAUAAACCGGAGGAAGGUGGGGAUGACGUCAAAUCAUCAUGCCCCUUAUGACCUGGGCUACUCACGUGCUACAAUGGUUGGUACAACGAGUCGCAAGUCGGUGACGGCAAGCAAAUCUUUUAAAGCCAAUCUCAGUUCGGAUUGUAGGCUGCAACUCGCCUACAUGAAGUCGGAAUCGCUAGUAAUCGCGGAUCAGCACGCCGCGGUGAAUACGUUCCCGGGCCUUGCACACACCGCCCGUCA
rnacentral:rRNA from 1 species